rnacentral:snoRNA from 1 species
UAUAUUAACUUCUCAAUAACUGCUGCCAACACUAGCCCACAAGGAUGGGACACUGACAUGUGACCCCUAGGCCCUAAUCCCCUUCCCCGUGGCUUAAGGAUAAAUUUGGUUACAGCCAAAG